rnacentral:tRNA from 1 species
GUUUUUGUAGUUGAUGGACAACGGUGGUUUUUCAGGCUGCAGGACUCAGUAGAGCAAAAAUU